rnacentral:lncRNA from 1 species
CCAACUUGAAUGGUUUUAGUCGAGCCAUCAUCGUUGAGAGGCACAGAGAUGAGUUGCUCUGCGGGUUCUCCCUGGCUUUCUUCUUCUCUCUGAUCCAAGCUGUUGAUGGGAAGAGCUUCAGUAGACCUCUUUUCCUUAAUUACUGUCAAGUAAUAUUGUCGGGCCAGUUGUUGAUCUCCUCUCAUUUCACCAGUCCCAUUCCUCAUCAAAGAGCAUACG